rnacentral:rRNA from 1 species
UUGACCUCGGAUCAGGUAGGGAUACCCGCUGAACUUAAGCAUAUCAAUAAGCGGAGGAAAAGAAACCAACAGGGAUUGCCUCAGUAACGGCGAGUGAAGCGGCAACAGCUCAAAUUUGAAAUCUGCCUCUAGGCCGAAUUGUAAUUUGUAGAAGAUGCUUCGGGUGUGGCACUGGUCUAAGUUUCUUGGAACAGGACGUCAUAGAGGGUGAGAAUCCCGUACGUGACUGGCUGCCUUCGCUCAUGUGAAGCUCUUUCGACGAGUCGAGUUGUUUGGGAAUGCAGCUCAAAAUGGGUGGUAUAUUUCAUCUAAAGCUAAAUAUUGGCCAGAGACCGAUAGCGCACAAGUAGAGUGAUCGAAAGAUGAAAAGCACUUUGGAAAGAGAGUUAAACAGUACGUGAAAUUGUUGAAAGGGAAGCGCUUGCAACCAGACUUGCGCGUCGUCGAUCAUCCGAGGUUUUCCCCGGUGCACUCGGCGGUGCUCAGGCCAGCAUCGGUUUCGGUGGUUAGAUAAAGGCCUUGGGAAUGUAGCUCCUCCGGGAGUGUUAUAGCCCUCGGUGCAAUGUAGCCUACUGGGACCGAGGACCGCGCUCGGCUAGGAUGCUGGCGUA